rnacentral:rRNA from 1 species
CGUCGAGCGGCGGACGGGUGAGUAAUGCCUAGGAAAUUGCCUUGAUGUGGGGGAUAACCAUUGGAAACGAUGGCUAAUACCGCAUGAUGCCUACGGGCCAAAGAGGGGGACCUUCGGGCCUCUCGCGUCAAGAUAUGCCUAGGUGGGAUUAGCUAGUUGGUGAGGUAAUGGCUCACCAAGGCGACGAUCCCUAGCUGGUCUGAGAGGAUGAUCAGCCACACUGGAACUGAGACACGGUCCAGACUCCUACGGGAGGCAGCAGUGGGGAAUAUUGCACAAUGGGCGCAAGCCUGAUGCAGCCAUGCCGCGUGUAUGAAGAAGGCCUUCGGGUUGUAAAGUACUUUCAGUUGUGAGGAAGGGGGUA